rnacentral:lncRNA from 1 species
GGCUGCUAAUGGAUGUCUAAGAGGGGAGAGAAUUCUGGGAAUUUACCCAAAGUUCACCCUGAAAUUCACUUGUCAGAAAAGUCAUCGGGAAACACAAUCAACAGACUGCUGAAUCCAGUCCCAAGGGAAAGAAAUGAUUCCUACUGGUCACCCAGGACUGUGGCUUUCCAUUCUGAGCCUGAAGACAAAGAUGAGGCCUGAAGCAGGAAUCCAGUGCAGUUAUUUGUAAACAUGGGGCCAGGGAUAUGAGAGAGCAUCCUCCCAGGAAGGCUAAAGGCCCUUCUUAAUAGGCCCACCCUUGUUCCUACAAAUACUCUAGUUAACAGAAAUCUAAAAGAAAGCACAAAGCAGAAGGUGUCUCCACUCCAACCUGACAUCUUCCAACCUGCUACCAUGGAUCCAACAAAUGUUGCAGUGCAGCAUGGGAUACUCCCACAUAAACCCCACCCAGCCCCUCAGCCAGCCACACACCCAGAGAAGACCCUUCCAUGCUCACAUGCAAAUUCUUGUUCCCCCAAAUCACUUCAUAAAAUGUUGUCAUCCCCAUCCAUUGGCAGUUACGGUGGCAGAAGCCCGAAGGCGGCCCACAGAAGCACUUUCAGAUACACAUGCCUGACUGAGGCAGAAGAGUCAUGGCAACCCAAGGCAACACAGGCUGGCAAUAUUCAUUCCUAUGGAAUGCGAUGGUGGAAGAGUCAGACAUCUCUCCUCCUCGACUAGUCUGUGAUGUUCUACCAGCCAGAGGGAGAGUGCUUCUCCCCCAACAUGCAAUGAUCAUGGAUAUCUCUCACUCAACUUGUCUAUGCUUCCACAAAGACUGAAGAAGAACAAGAAUUAAGAAGCAGGAGCCCAAUUCAAUAUAGCAUUGGGGCUCAGCGUAUAGGGAACACCUUUCCCUGGAGGGCAAUAAACACUUCAUCACCACCGAAAUUGAUUCCA